rnacentral:tRNA from 1 species
GCAUCGGUAGCCAAGUUGGUAAGGCGAUAGUCUGCAAAACUAUUAAUCGCGAGUUCAAGUCUCGCCCGAUGCU